AAAGCCUAAACCUGGUCGAAAUUGUUUUUGCUCGUCUGUUCUUCGUUGGAUAACUAGAAAAAUUUCCUCCCAAAAUUGCCGCCGUCGCCUCCGUGUCCUUCCACGGCAGGGACCCGCCGGAGCAUCACCGCCUCCGUCCAUGUCGCUCAACCGCCUCAAGGAAACCCUCCACGCCUGUUCCUCUUCCUCCUCCGAACCACGGACCCAACCGCGCUCACCACAGCAUCCUGCCCGCCUUCCGCGGAGACCCCCAAAGACGUCCCUUUCGCAGCAGCUCCUCCGCCUCGAGGCCGCCGCCUCUUCAUCCUCCUUCUUCUCCUCCAGGCCCUUACAGCUCCCACCCGCCCCCAGGCCCCCGAUCGAGAAGCCGCGGGAGGAUGUCGAACCGCCGUCGUCGGAGGAUGAGGACGAGAGAAAAAGUCGCCCCAUUAUCCGCCGCUGCCUGCAUCCGCCACCAGCGGCCGCCCUCGAGUCCCGCGGGCCAUACGAGCCACUUGUGCUCUCGCUGCCUGGAGAGCACCCUGUCGUCCAGGUGCCCCCAUCAAUAAAUUGCAGGCUACUUGCGCAUCAGAGGGACGGUGUGAGAUUCUUAUACAAUUUGUAUAGAAACAAUCAUGGCGGUGUUCUUGGAGAUGACAUGGGUUUGGGGAAGACCAUUCAAACUAUUGCUUUUUUGUCUUCUGUUAUUGGAAAAGGCAAUGGCCAUGGGCAAUCAACAAACAAAGGAAAGAUGACUGGUCCUGUACUCAUCCUCUGCCCUACUUCGGUGAUCCGGAACUGGGAAAAUGAAUUUUCCGAGUGGGCAGAAUUCUCUGUUGCUGUCUAUCAUGGUCCAAAUCGUGAUUUAGUUCUUGGAAAAAUUGAAAAUCAAGGACUGGAGGUACUCAUUACCAGUUUUGACACUUUCAGAAUUCAUGAUAAGGUUUUAUGUGGUAUCUCGUGGGAACUUGUGGUUGUUGAUGAGGCACAUCGUCUCAAGAAUGAAAAGUCCAAGUUAUAUACAGCAUGCUUGGGGAUAACAACUCAAAAGCGGUUUGGUCUCACGGGGACCAUAAUGCAGAAUAAGAUCAUGGAAUUAUUUAAUCUAUUUGACUGGGUCGUGCCUGGCUGCUUAGGGGACCGAGAACACUUUCGAGCUUAUUAUGAUGAGCCUCUAAAACAGGGUCAGAGGCUAAGUGCUCCUGAGAGAUUUGUUCAAGUUGCUGAUGCGCGCAAGAAGCACCUUGUUUCCAUUCUUAGGGAAUUCUUAUUGAGAAGGACAAAAGAGGAGACAAUUGGACAUCUUAUGCUUGGGAAGGAGGAUAAUAUUGUUUUCUGCAAAAUGAGUGACGUUCAAAAACGUGUUUAUAGAAGAAUGCUGCAACAACCUGAUAUACAAAUCCUUAUUAAUAAGGAUGUCCGCUGUAGCUGUGGAAGUCCUUUACCUCAGGUUGAAUGUUGCAAGAGAACUGAACCAGAUGGUGUUAUAUGGUCUUAUCUUCACAGAGAGAACCCUGAAGGCUGUUCUAUAUGCCCCUUCUGUCUUGUUCUUCCUUUCCUCGUCAAGCUUCAGCAGAUUAGCAACCAUCUGGAGCUGAUAAAACCUAAUCCAAAGGAUGAGCUUGAAAAGCAGAAGAAAGAUGCUGAACUUGCAGCUGCUGUCUUUGGUGCAGAUAUUGACUUAGUUGGUGGUACUGCUAAAAGUGAGAACUUCAUGGGUCUCAGUGAUGCUGAGAACUGUGGAAAGAUGCGAGCACUAGAAAGGCUUCUGUCAUUAUGGACUGGACAGGGUGACAAGAUUCUUCUUUUCAGUUAUUCUGUCAGGAUGCUUGACAUACUAGAGAAGUUUCUCAUAAGGAAGGGUUAUUGCUUUUCACGCUUCGAUGGAACAACUCCGAUGAAUGCACGCCAAUCACUAGUGGAUGAGUUCAACAGAAGCCCUAGCAAACAGGUUUUCCUUAUAUCUACUCGAGCAGGUAAUUUAGGUGUAAACCUUGUUAGUGCUAACCGCGUGGUGAUAUUUGAUCCAAGUUGGAACCCUGCCCAAGACUUGCAAGCACAAGACAGAUCAUUUCGGUAUGGACAGAGACGGCAUGUUACAGUAUUUCGCCUACUUGGUGCCGGUUCACUUGAAGAGCUCAUUUAUUCUAGGCAAAUAUAUAAACAGCAGCUUUCCAACAUUGCAGUCUCUGGAAAAAUAGAGAGGCGUUACUUUGAAGGUGUGCAGCAGGAACUAGAUCCCAAGUGUUAUUUUUUCAUCAGCGCAUCAAAUUCAGCAUUGAUGGCGUUCUUCCAAAGUUCCAAUUGUCGUCACCUAGAGCUUCAGACAUGUCUUGAGGUUCACCGGUGGUGGUAAAACAACCAUAUUUAAUGAGUAAUUUUUCCAUCUUGUGAUCUUGUCCGAGGACGCUGGUCUAUGUAAAUAGUGAGAACGGGAGGUCGGUGGGGUGAUGGAGUUGUUGGUCCUGAUGAAACCGUGCACUGAUGUCGAGUCAUCUGAAGGUUCUGUUGCACUACUUUCUGCUACUUAAGGGACCGGUAGAGCUCGAUGAUGUUGCUGCAUUGUGAUCAGGCGCAUCAGAGACAUGAUCUGUAAGACUUUGAUGUGUUGUUUGAUCUGUACAGGAUUUAGCUUCAUUUGUCCUCCUUUUGGUUCCUUGCUGGUAAAACAGGUGAGGUGAGACAACUUGUUUUUGUGCAGACACGCAGUGCUGGUCUGGUUGCUGUAUCUACGCACCACCCUCCUGAACUUGGGUAGAGCUUGUACAACAUCUUCUAGCCUAUCACCAAUAACACUUCAUGAUUUUCAUUAGUAGUAUUGUCAUAUGAAUCAUUAGACAACGAGUUCCCAUGUUGUCAAAGUUCGAUGAAGGUAAAAGGGUGCAAGACAACAUAUUGAUUUGGCCCUUAGUCUAGCAUCAACAUUAGGGUGAAGCCCAACAAAUGGAAAAACUUCUUCAUCAUAUCCUACCAAAAUGUACGAGACAAGUUAUUCAUCAUGUCCUUCCAGAAUGUAUGAGACAAGUUCUUCAUCAUCAUUAGUCUUCUUUGCAGAUGUCAUAUGAUCUACAAGAAAUUUCAUCUUGGCAAUAUAUUUAGCCACUGUUAUGUUACCUUUUCUUGUGGUUGCUAGGGUAAUCUGUGUGUUCAUGGUUCGAGCUCUUGACUGCUACGUGUAGGACUUCUGUAGUUCUGACCCUAUCUCAUGAGGUGUUUCGUAGAUGUAGGUUGUGUGAUAUCCUGGCUCCAGUGGAUGGUGACAUCCUGGCCAAGGCUUAAUAGAAUUAAUAGAGUACUCAUACCAACAAGGUGCAUCUUCUUUUUUGGAAGCCUAUCUCGAAAGAACCUCUGGGUUAAGCGUGCUUGACACAGAGCAAUCUUGGUAUGGGUGACCGACCGGGAAGUCUUCUCGUGUGCGCAUGAGUGAGGACAAAGUGCAUAAAAGACUUGUGUUGGUCUGUGAGGAUGGUUUGUGGUCCUAGAGGGCUGCCAGGAGUAAGUACCGCUGGUACGGGAGUAGACAGGGUGUUACAAGAUGGCAACCUGACCCAUGGCUUCCCGAGUCAUGAAUGUCAUGAGGAAGCCAAAGACCUGUUGUUGGAGCGUGACCCAUCGGAUAUACACCGGGUUGACGUCGUAGGUCAUCUUGCCAUCCUGCUUGACGACGAGGAUAUUCUCAUCGGGCGGCCGGGCGCUACAGCCAUGCCAUCUAGGUAGCCUUGUAGCUUUUUUUUUUUAGAUAAUGGAAAAAUCAUCCGACCUUGGCCUCAAAUGAGGUUACGGCCAUUUAUUACAAGGGACGGAAGCAUAUUGCCAAAACUCCUCCUAUGACCACUUCAGAGAACCCCAACUAGCCAAAUUAAAGAACUUCAGCUAUCGAACCACAGCUACUACAUAAUUAAACGCAACGCAGACCCCCAUCCAAAAUUGCUAAAGAACUGUAGUAGCACCCUCUUCACAUUACGACAUGAAGACUUUAUUAACUCUUGGUCCUCCCUUCUAGGCUGAAGCUGAGACCAGAAGCGGCACCAAUAUGUUGCCCUGAAGGUUACCUGCACACAUGAUUUAGGAGAUGAAUUAUUGAACACCACAUCAUUUCUACUUAACCAAAUAGCCCAACAAAUUGCCGAUGCAACGGUUAAUAGUAGGUUUCGAACUCUGGGAAGCCUCCCGCUCGCCCAAACCCCAAACAAAUCAUUAACAUCCCGAGGAGGUCUCAACCCCGUGCUUAUCUGAAUCAACCGCCAAAUGAAUGACGCAUACAAACAACUGAAAAAUAGGUGCUUUAUUGUCUCCGGUCUACUACAAAAGCAACAUAUCUUAUUCCCAUUCCAAUGCCUCCUAGCCAAGUUAUCCUUUGUUAAUGUUACCCCUCUUUUGAGGUACCACAUAAAAAUCUUAAUUUUCAGAGGAAGCCUAAGUUUCCAAAGGUCCUUAUUAUGCACCCCCAACCCAUUGUUAAGAGAUGCCAGAUACAGAGACUUAACCGUAAACAUAUUCUCAUCGGGCGGCCGGGCGCUACAGCCAUGCCAUCUAGGUAGCCUUGUAGCUGCGCGCCUCUAAGGAUGGGUUUGCACUUUCCUUGCCCUAGGAGAGACGUCGGUACUGUGGAAUUGGAUGUCGUCGUGGGAUCUUAUUGCUGGUGAGGUUUAUGUCAUCUUCCUCUUGAUCAGGACAUCAACUAAUAGAUGUAGGAGGUGGAUCUGAUUGUCAUAUAAGAAACACGACACUGAGAUAUUAUAUUGCUUGCCUUGACCUCUAGGUCUAUAGGGUUGUAUAACCGCCUAUUACAAGGCUUUGUCCCCCUUCUUAGUUGCAAGGGGGCAGCCAAGAAGGAGACUGGAACUAGGCUUUGGCCCCCUAAAAGCUAAAAGCCAAACCAAAGGACUGGAACUAGGAAGCAACUUUUUUCAAAAGCUGACUUUCUCGCAGUGUAAAACUGAAAGCACCUCUAGACCUGCUUUUAGCGGCUUUCGGAUGGAACUAUGAAAAUAUAUAUGGAAAAACUUUUAGCGGCUUUUAGUGGGUUCUACCAAACAAUUUUAUGAUUUUUAACAGCUCAUAGCUUACAACAACUUUUUUCACAGCUCACAGCCCACAACAACUUUUUUCACGGCCGCAGCUCAACCAAACAGACCCUAUGUAUAGCAUAUUCUAACAAGAAGUAUCUUGAUAGUUGAUACCAUUAAAUGGAGGACAUAAAUUGCUUUCCAGGGCAUUUGCAUUGGUACAAUUUUGAGCUGGCUUGGAACAAAAGAUGAUGAGGAUGGGGUUUAUUUACUCAAUAUUCUUGGAUAGACGUAGUCAUGAAUUAAUUUUUUUGUCCAUUCUAUGUGGCACGUAACUUUACAGCUACACCAAAAAGGAUCAUGUUAUGUUCUUUUUGUGUUCUGCUACGACUGUGUUUGCCCAAGUUAAUCAUUGCAUUUGGUUCAGUUCCAUAAACAUUUUCCAUGUUUUCCAAAAAAAAAGCUCUAACAGUGUAAGAAAUAUGUGUUUUUCAUUUUCUUCUUAUCUUCAGAGAUGUGUUAGGAUUGAGACAUUUGAUAAGGACUUCAUACGUUUAGAAAUGUUUCAAAUUUCUGACUGUUAUACACCUGCUUUUUGGUUCCAAGGCCCAAUCAGGAUGUUAAGUGUUUGAAAUUCAUACAUUGAUGCUUCAUACCUCGGUGUAUUGUUACAAGUGACACUGUAAUCCACAGAAUAACAUUACGCAUAAUUGUUGUUAGAUGACAUUUGAGCAAAACCAAGCAUGUCACCACCAAACGAACUUCCUAUGCAGUUUUUUUUCUCACAUCAGCAUAUGUUAGUUUGAGAUUUUAAGUUUGGGCUGUUUUAGCUGUUGUGGGUGUGGCAGACCAGGUGCAAUCUCGACUGCACAAUAGUUUAAUUCGGAUUGGCCUUUUGGUAGUUGUAAGUUAACAGCUUACUGACUAGAUAUCUGGUGUCCAUUUUGGAUAAUUCUGAUUUAGGAUGACAAGAAAUUUCAAGGUGAGCUCUUUGGGAUCUGCAAUCUUUUCCGUGACUUGUCCGAUAAGCUUUUUACUAGUGAGAUUAUUGAGAUGCAUGGAGAACAUGGCAAGAGUAGUGCAACAGAAGCAACAGGGAUAAGAGAAAUAGUCGAUACUGAUUUAUUUGGUUCACAAGAGAAUAGGAAGUCUUCCACAGCAACAACACAUACGGAUGAUCAGAAAUUGGUUGAUUUUGGGAUAGUUUAUGCCCACCGCAACGAGGAUGUCGUGAACAUGAGGACAGACGGAAGAGAGAAAGGUGGAGCAGACGAGACUGUCCAGAGCUCCUUAGAGGAGCUGCUUAGUAAGAAUGAAACAAAGCACACUGCCAUGGAAAAAUCUUAUUCAUCGGAGGAGAAAAGGGAAGUGGCAAGAUCUUAUUCACUGGAGCAGAAAAAGAAAGAGUUUAGCUGCAUCGCAUCCUUCAUGGGUAUGGAUGACCUUGAAUUUAGCAAGUGGUUGCUAUCAGCCUCACCGCACCAGCGGUCUGAAGUGCUGCAGGACUACAGGAGGAAGAAGAAAAAUCAGAAAUGAUGAUGCAGGUCCUCGGAGCUAACCGGCUACCGCAAAGCUUUGACGUAGUGAUUAGCUUGUGUAGCUAAUUGUGGUAGUUAUGACAAGGGAAUGGUAGUAAAAUUGACCCGUGGCACCGAUCAGUAUGUAUGUCUGCAGCCCCGCUUAUUUUGAACCUUAUAUUGGUGCAAACUGAGCUCAGCAAGGCCUUGGUCACUCUCCCUGGCCGUUUUUUUUCGGUCAGGUGAAAUAUAAUCUGUAUUGUGUCUGUUAGUUCCUGUUCAGCUGUCUAAGCCUUUGUGUAGCGAGUCUUAUCAUGUUAGGUGGCUUGCAAUGUUACCUUGGUCUGUACUAAUCAUUUGGAUAUCGUAGUCUUCUCCGUACUAAAAUAUAAUUCGUUUUAGAUUAAA